GGGUUUUAAAGUGCUCGUAGGCGGUUUGUCGCGUCUGCUGUGAAACCCCGAGGCUCAACCUCGGGCCUGCAGUGGGUACGGGCAGACUAGAGUGCGGUAGGGGAGAUUGGAAUUCCUGGUGUAGCGGUGGAAUGCGCAGAUAUCAGGAGGAACACCGAUGGCGAAGGCAGAUCUCUGGGCCGUAACUGACGCUGAGGAGCGAAAGCAUGGGGAGCAAACAGGAUUAGAUACCCUGGUAGUCCAUGCCGUAAACGUUGGGAACUAGAUGUAGGGUCCAUUCCACGGAUUCUGUGUCGCAGCUAACGCAUUAAGUUCCCCGCCUGGGGAGUACGGCCGCAAGGCUAAAACU
rnacentral:rRNA from 1 species